rnacentral:rRNA from 1 species
GACGAACGCUGGCGGCGUACUUAACACAUGCAAGUCGAACGAUGAACCCGGAGCUUGCUCCGGCGGAUUAGUGGCGAACGGGUGAGUAACACGUGAGUAACCUGCCCUUGACUCUGGGAUAACUGCUAGAAAUGGUAGCUAAUACCGGAUACGACCCUCGGUGGCAUCACCAGGGGGUGGAAAGAAUUUCGGCCAAGGAUGGACUCGCGGCCUAUCAGCUAGUUGGUGAGGUAACGGCUCACCAAGGCGACGACGGGUAGCCGGCCUGAGAGGGUGACCGGCCACACUGGGACUGAGACACGGCCCAGACUCCUACGGGAGGCAGCAGUGGGGAAUAUUGCACAAUGGGCGCAAGCCUGAUGCAGCAACGCCGCGUGAGGGAUGACGGCCUUCGGGUUGUAAACCUCUUUUAGUAGGGAAGAAGCGAAGGUGACGGUACCUGCAGAAAAAGCACCGGCUAACUACGUGCCAGCCGCCGCCGUAA